rnacentral:rRNA from 1 species
CCUACGGGAGGCAGCAGUGAGGAAUAUUGGUCAAUGGACGAGAGUCUGAACCAGCCAAGUAGCGUGAAGGAUGACUGCCCUAUGGGUUGUAAACUUCUUUUAUAUGGGAAUAAAACGUUCCACGUGUGGGAUUUUGUAUGUACCAUAUGAAUAAGGAUCGGCUAACUCCGUGCCAGCAGCCGCGGUAAUACGGCGGAUCCGAGCGUUAUCCGGAUUUAUUGGGUUUAAAGGGAGCGUAGGUGGAUUGUUAAGUCAGUUGUGAAAGUUUGCGGCUCAACCGUAAAAUUGCAGUUGAAACUGGCAGUCUUGAGUACAGUAGAGGUGGGCGGAAUGCGUGGUGUAGCGGUGAAAUGCUUAGAUAUCACGAAGAACUCCGAUUGCGAAGGCAGUUCACUGGACUGCAACUGACACUGAGGCUCGAAAGUGUGGGUAUCAAACAGGAUUAGAUACCCAAGUAGUC